UUUUUCCUGCUAGUUCAUUAUUAGUGUAUAGAAACGCAAAACAUUUUUGUGCAUUGAUUUUUAUAUUCUGCAACUUUACUAUAUUUUGUAUUAUUUCUAAUAGUUUUUGGUGAAGUAUUUAGAGUUUUGAUAUAUAAAAAUCAUGUGACCCACAAAUAGUGACAGCUCUACUUUUUACUUUCCAAUUUGGAUGUUUAGCUGGGCCUGCAAUACUAUUUUGAAUAAGAUUGGUGAGAGUGGAUAUCCUUCUCUUGGUCUUGGUCUUAGAGAGAUAGCUUUCAGUUUUUCACCACUGGGUAUGAUAUUAGCUGUGGGUUUGUCAUAUAUAGCUUUUAUUAUGUUGAGGUACAUUCCUUCCAUACCCAUUUAAUUGACAGUAUUUAUCAUAAACAUGUGUUGAGUCUUGUGAAAUAUUUUUUUCUGCAGGUAUUGAGUUGAUCAUAUAGGUUUUUAUCCUUCAUUUUUAAUUCAAUGCCUCAUGUUGAUUGAUUGCAGCUAUUGAGCAAUCCUUGCAUCCCUGGAAUAAGUUCUGCUUGAUUGUGGUGUCUGAUUGUUUUAAUAUAUUGUCAUAUUCAGGUUUGGGGUAAUUUUUUAUGUAUAUUCACUGGAGAUACUGUCCUUUAAUUAUUAUUUGUGUAUGUUUCCAUGAUCUGACUUUGGUAUCAGGAAAAUGUUGGCUUCAUAAGAUUAGUAAGUAGUAUUUUUUCUCUUUCAGUUUUUUGGAAGAGUUUGAGGUAUAUGGGUAUUAAAUUUGCUCUGAUAGAAUUCCCCUGUGAAGCUGUCUGGUUCUGGACUUUUGUUUGGGGGGUGCUUUUUGAUUACUGUUCAAUCUUUGUACUAGUGAUUGGCCUAUUCAAAUGUUCUUCUUUUCAUGAUUCAGCCUUAGAAGACUUUAUGAUUCUAAGAAUUUAUUUAUUCUCAGUUGUCCAGUUUGUUGGCAUAGAGUCAUUCAUAAUAUUCUCUUAUAAUCCUUAUUUUUUGGAGAAGGGAAGAGUAUUUUAGUAUACUUUUCAGAUAAUUGUGGAUAUUAUUUGAUAUUCAAAUUUUGACCAAUCAUAUUUUAAACAUUCAUUGCAAGGUAGAAUCUAGAAUUGAUGAACUUUUCAAAAUUUUGUUACCUUAAAAUCCAUGGGUUCAUAAUGCAUCUUGGUUUUGGGGUUUUUUAUAAUCAUAAUAAUAAUCAUAAUUAUUAUUACUAUUCAGGUAUGGUUGAUUUACAAUGUUAUAUCAAGUUCUGUGGUACUGCAAAGUGACCCAUCACACAUUUCACUGUCCUAUACAGUAAGGUUCCAUUUUCAAUCCAUUCCAUAUAUAAGAGUUUGCAUCCAAAAAACCCCCAAAAUGCCCAUCCAUCACACUCCCUCCCCUUUUCACCUUGAGAACCCUGCUCUCCUUGGUCAUGAUUUGUUUCUAUUUUUUGGGUGAUCUGUUUCUAUUUUUUGGGUUUGGGGUUUUUUUUUUUUUAGAUAGGGUCAUCUGUUCCAUAAUGUAGAUUCCACAAAUAAGUGAUGUCAUAUGGUAUUUGUCAUUUACUUUCUGGCUUACUUCAGUAAAAAAGUAUGAGAGUCUCUAGUUUCAUUCAUUUUGUUGCAAAUGGCAUUGGUCUUUUUAUGGCUGAGUAAUAUUCCAUUGUGUGUAUGUACCACAUUUUCUAAAUUCAUUUGUAUUUAUGUGGUAUUCAUUGUCACUUCUCUUUCAUUUUUGACUUUAUUAAUUGGAGACAUCUCUUUUUUUAGUGAGUCUAGAAAAGGCUUUUGAAUUUUGUUUAUCUUUUUAAAUACAGAUCUUAGCUUCAUUGAUAUUUUGUAUUGUCUUUUUAGUCUCUGUUUCUUUUAUUUCGCUCUGAUUUUUAUUGUUUCCUUCCUUCUACUGAUCAGGUUGUUUGUUCUCUUUUCUAGUUCCUUCAGACGUAAGAGAAGAUUGAGAUCUUCCUUUUUUUAUUCUUGAGGAUAUCCUUUUUUGCUAUAAACAUCCCUUGAACUAAUUUAGCUAUGUCCCAGAGAUUUGGAUAUGUUUAUUUUCAUUUUCAUCUGUCUUUAGGUAUUUUUAUUAAAUCUCUGAUUUCUUCAUUCACUCAAUAGUUGUUCUGUAGCAUGUUGUUCAGUCUCUUCCUAUUAGUGAGUUUUCUAGCUUUCUAUGUAUCUUGUAACUGAUUUAUAGUUUCAUACCAUUGUGACCAGAAAGAUAUUUGCUAUUAUUUCAAUUUCUUAAAUUUAUUGAGACUUGUUUUGUUUCCCAACAUAUGGUCUAUAAUUGAGAAAGUUCUAUGUGCUCUUGAGAAGAAUAUGCAUUCUGCUGCAUUUGGAUGGAAUGUUCUGUACAAAUCUAUCAUGUUUAUCUGCUCUAACAUUAUAUUUAAGGCCACUCUUCCCUUGUUGAUUUUCUAUCUGGAUGAUCUAUCCAUUGAUAUAAUCAUUAAAGUCCCCUACUCUUAUUAUAUUGCCAUCAAUUUCUCCCUUUGGGUCUCAAUAAUUGCUUUAUAUAUUUUGGUGCUCUUAUAUUAGACACA
rnacentral:lncRNA from 1 species